UACAGAGGGUGCGAGCGUUGUCCGGAAUCACUGGGCGUAAAGGGCGCGUAGGUGGUGGCUUAAGCGUGCGGUGAAAGCUCGGGGCUCAACCCCGAGUCGGCCGUGCGAACUGUUUUGCUUGAGCACUGUAGAGGCAGGCGGAAUUCCGGGUGUAGCGGUGGAAUGCGUAGAGAUCCGGGAAGAACACCGGUGGCGAAGGCGGCCUGCUGGGCAGUAGCUGACACUGAGGCGCGACAGCGUGGGGGAGCAAACAGG
rnacentral:rRNA from 1 species